GUGCUCACUUCAGCAGCCCAUAUACUAAAAUUGGAACAAUACAGAGAAGAUUAGCACAGCCCCUGCAUAAGCAUGACACGAAAAUCCAUGAAGCAUUUCGUAUUUUU